UUUUUUUUGUUUUAGAAACUUUGUAGGUUUCUCAUGGAUGGAGAUGCCUUUACUCGUACUUAGCAAUAUGUAUAAU
rnacentral:sRNA from 1 species